GAAUUCCAUAAGAGGCGCGCAUUCUUUAUAAUUAAUAAAAUAACGUCUUGAUAGGAAAUACACACACAGUUCAAUUACGUCUUGUGCUGCUCGAAUAUAUAUAGCGCAUCCCACACAGCAACAUCGCGGGAAUGCCUGUGUUUAAAGGGAAUCCAAGAGGAGUUGUAGAGCCUCAGCCUUAACUUGACCAAGCAUCGCAUCCUCUACUGAAACUGCCUGCGUCUUGACGUCAUUUAGAGGCGCCCAAACAAGGUUGGCGCCAACCUAGAGAGAGAGAGAGAGAGGGGGCGAGUUCAUAUGGGAAAGCUGGAGAGCAAAAUUUAAGAGUUCUAAAGUAACGAUGGACAUAAGAAAAUUCUUUGGGGUGCAGCCAAAAAAAUCCACAAGUGAACCAGCAACAAGUGGUAAAUCAAAGGAAAAUGAGGAAAAGAAGAAGACACGUACAAAUGGAAAUGCUGGCUCUAAGGU